GAAGAAACAACAGGAACACAUAUAGCUGGAGUGCAGAUGGGAUCUGUGCUACUUACGCUAGCCAUGGGAUGAUUAGAACAAGAUAAGAGACAUGAGGAAGACUUCUUCAAGGAGGUGCUCAAGCCAUGUUUUGGAAAAGAGAACUCAAGGUCUGGCAGGGAGAAAGGAGCAAGGGCGUCUUCUCCCUGAAGGCUGUCACAGUUCCUGUGCAGAGAGCGAGGGCACUGCAGCACCCAGGCGCUGACUGCCUUUUGUCAGUCUCAUUUGCAGGCCCCCAGCUGGAGAACCCAGGAGGAAGAGGAAAAAAGUUUUUCCUCCUCUACACUCCCCAUGCAUGACUAAAGAGUAGGAGGAGUGAGCAAGGCAGACAUAUAUAGUACCCAGGAGGUGGACAAACAACUGCCUUGGUGGAAACUCUGACCUUUCUGGGCUUAUCCUGGUGCCACUGAGACUGUGCAGGUCCCACACUUACGGGGAAAGCAUCACCUGAAAGUGAGAACACCUAGAGGCAGGAAUCAUGGAGGCUUCCUUAACUGUCUGUCUGCAACAGCAGGUGCUAGAGAAGACACUGCAGAGUAGAGAACAAAGGAAUCUUAGUAAUUGUUCAAUCCAAUCGCCACACUUUAAAGAUGGAGAAACUGGUAUUGAGAAAAAUACACAGCUUACCCAAGGUUGCACUGCCGGUUGGUAGCUGAGAUGAAUUUAGAACCCACAUCUGAUGACUACACCAUAUUGCUCCCAGUUUACCUGUCUGUUCCACAUGUAAAAGUCUGACUCUUCACUUUUCCUUUGAGUAUAUAGACU
rnacentral:lncRNA from 1 species